rnacentral:lncRNA from 1 species
CUUGCAGGGAACUGAAAGCCCGAAGGGGAUAGAAAUAAAAAUGGAAAUAUAGCAGCAUUGUACUAAUAUAGCAGUGGCUGUGAGAGAAUGAAUGUUAUGCUCUUGAACUCAAGGAAUGCUCGUGUAGGAAAAGAUUGACUCAUCUGAAAUCAGAAACCAGAGAGCACCUGCAAGUACAUGCUGGACGUGAAGGAAUAGGCUGGACACACUCACUAUGCCUUCUUAUAUCUCUGAAUUGGAAUCCCAGGACAUGAGGCUACUUGAUAAUGCAAAACAACUUGGAUGUACCAGGCUAUAUGACAUGAGAGGGGCACACAUUCCUGUCUCCACACCACAGAUUACUGCCUUCUCUCUGGCAGUGAUGCAGCAGGAUACCACAACAGGAACACUCUGGAAAGUACGUGAGGAGAAGUGUUGGAAGCUGUUUGAGGUGAAGCAAUUGCAAAUGUCAGUCCAUACAUGGAGGCCAUGCCAUGGAGGGUGGUGUGCACUGCCCUGGUAAGACAUGCUCCAAAACGAUCAAUGCCAGAACGUCAGGUUUUUAGGAAAGCUGGACAAGCAGUCAAUUUAAACAAUCUCUCUUCUGCAGCUGGAAUAGAAGAACAAUAGAGCUUGGAGAAAAUGAGAUCUCUUGGUCUGAUUCUGACACCCUGCUGCCUCUCUCCCAGCCCCAGCCAGUGACCAGUGUCAGCACUAAUGAGGGGGAGACAGCAGCAUGCCUUGUUGUAGCUGCUCUUUCUUCUUGUAGCAGUGUUGAUGACCUCCCCAGGGCACACCUCUGAAUAUGCAAGCUAUUAGCUCACGUAGCAUUUCUGGGGAUUGCAGUCCCUGACAGUUUCCUCAGACACUGUGCUCCUGCAGAUGAGAAAGAAAGUGUUGGACUUGGCCACCAUGGCAGAUGGAAAUGGGGAGGGCUGGGAUGAGAGAGCUGGAGAGGAAGAUGACAGUCUGGUGUUAUUCCAGGAGGUGUGGGGUACUGAGGGUCAGCAAGUGUAAUUGUCUUGUUGCAUCUCAUGAUUAAAGCAUUUGAAAAUGAGUUAAAGACCAGUUACUGAAUAGAAAAGGCUGCAAGGGGAAAAGCGUCAUUCUUCAUUACAUAGGCUUGAGAUGAGAUCCAAAUCCAACCUGCCACAUAUCUGCACUCAGCUGCACAUGCUUGUAGCCAGAACAAUGACAGCUUGGUACCUACCUACAUGUCAGUCAGUCUCUUUACUCCAAAUAAACUUUUGCUUCUAUGGUAUCCUUUCCUUCA